rnacentral:misc_RNA from 1 species
UGGACUACUGGGGUUUCUAAUCCUGUUUGCUACCCACGCUUUCGAGCAUGAACGUCAGUGUUAUCCCAGGAGGCUGCCUUCGCCAUCGGUAUUCCUCCACAUCUCUACGCAUUUCACUGCUACACGUGGAAUUCUACCUCCCUCUGACACACUCUAGUCACCCAGUUCAGAACGCAGUUCCCAGGUUGAGCCCGGGGAUUUCACAUCCUGCUUAAGUAACCGUCUGCGCUCGCUUUACGCCCAGUAAUUCCGAUUAACGCUCGCACCCUACGUAUUACCGCGGCGGCUGGCACCA